rnacentral:rRNA from 1 species
AAGGGUUUAUGACCAGACCUUUUCUAGGGGGAUCAUCCGGUGUUCUCACCGGUGCACUUCCCCUAGUUGAGGCCAGCAUCGGUUUCUGUAGGGGGAUAAAAGCUUCGGGAAUGUGGCUCCUUCGGGAGUGUUAUAGCCCGUUGCAUAAUACCCUUACGGGGACCGAGGUCCGCGCUUCGGCUAGGAUGCUGGCGUAAUGGUUAUUAACCA